rnacentral:RNase_P_RNA from 1 species
UUAGGGUAAACGCUGCGAGUAAUCGUAGAGGAAAGUCCAUGCUCACAUAAGCUGAGAUGCUUAUAAAGUUCGCGCUAGAGAAAAUGAUAACUCUAGAUAGUAGAAAUACUAAUGGCGACGAAUUAACCUAAGCCUUGGUAUGGUUAUAGUAGUCAUAAAGUGUCAUAGAGACGAAUAGUUCGGAAACGAAUGAAGUGGAACGUGAUAAACCCCACGAGUGAGAAACUCAAAUUUUGGUAGAGGAGCUUUAACUAGGGAAUUGAACCGAUGUUAGGGACUAGGUAACUAGUAGAUAAAUGUUUACCACCUAGAAAUAGGUACAGAACAUGGCUUAUU